GAUGAACGCUGGCGGCGUGCUUAACACAUGCAAGUCGAACGGAAAGGCCCAAGCUUGCUUGGGUACUCGAGUGGCGAACGGGUGAGUAACACGUGGGUGAUCUGCCCUGCACUUCGGGAUAAGCCUGGGAAACUGGGUCUAAUACCGGAUAGGACCACUUCUUGGAUGUUGUGGUGGAAAGUUUUUUCGGUGUGGGAUGAGCUCGCGGCCUAUCAGCUUGUUGGUGGGGUAAUGGCCUACCAAGGCGUCGACGGGUAGCCGGCCUGAGAGGGUGUACGGCCACAUUGGGACUGAGAUACGGCCCAGACUCCUACGGGAGGCAGCGGUGGGGAAUAUUGCACAAUGGGCGCAAGCCUGAUGCAGCGACGCCGCGUGGGGGAUGGCGGCCUUCGGGUUGUAAACUCCUUUCGCUAGGGACGAAGCGUUUUGUGACGGUACCUGGAGAAGAAGCACCGGCUAACUACGUG
rnacentral:rRNA from 1 species